rnacentral:rRNA from 1 species
GAUGAACGCUGGCGGCGUGCCUAAUACAUGCCAGUCGAGCGAACGGACGAGAAGCUUGCUUCUCUGAUGUUAGCGGCGGACGGGUGAGUAACACGUGGAUAACCUACCUAUAAGACUGGGAUAACUUCGGGAAACCGGAGCUAAUACCGGAUAAUAUUUUGAACCGCAUGGUUCAAAAGUGAAAGACGGUCUUGCUGUCACUUAUAGAUGGAUCCGCGCUGCAUUAGCUAGUUGGUAAGGUAACGGCUUACCAAGGCAACGAUGCAUAGCCGACCUGAGAGGGUGAUAGGCCACACUGGAACUGAGACACGGUCCAGACUCCUAAGGGAGGCAGCAGUAGGGAAUCUUCCGCAAUGGGCGAAAGCCUGACGGAGCAACGCCGCGUGAGUGAUGAAGGUCUUCGGAUCGUAAAACUCUGUUAUUGGGGAAGAACAUAUGUGUAAGUAGCUGUGCACAGCUUGACGGUACCUAAUCAGAAAGCCACGGCUAACUACGUG